GUGAAGGUCAUCUGGCUGCAACAUCGCUCCAUUGAUCACCAGGGUUGUUUGGGCUGAUCUGUCUGGCUAGGCAGGUGCCCCUUUCAACCUUACUGUUCCAUGUGCAUCCCUUCUGAAGCUGAGAGCUUAGUCAAAGAGAGCAACCUUCCCAGAUAGAGGAGGACUGUUCAUCAUCCAGGGUGUACUGGUAGUUGUGCUACUGUGCUAGAACCUCCAGAUAAGCUCUCAAUAUAAACCAGUGAUUCUGAGAAAUAGUUAUAUUUAAAAAUAAAUUGUUCUCCUGAUUAGUAUAUUGCUUUA
rnacentral:snRNA from 10 species